UACGGAGGAUGCAAGCGUUAUCCGGAAUGAUUGGGCGUAAAGCGUCCGCAGGUGGCUAUGAAAGUCUGCUGUUAAAGAGCAAGGCUCAACCUUGUAAAGGCAGUGGAAACUACAUGGCUAGAGUGCGUUCGGGGCAGAGGGAAUUCCUGGUGUAGCGGUGAAAUGCGUAGAGAUCAGGAAGAACACCGGUGGCGAAAGCGCUCUGCUAGGCCGCAACUGACACUGAGGGACGAAAGCUAGGGGAGCGAAUGGG
rnacentral:rRNA from 1 species